GACAGAGGUCCCGAGCGUUAGGCGGAAUCACUGGGCUUAAAGCGUGUGUAGGCGGAUCGUUAAGUACCUUGUGAAAUCCCACGGCUUAACCGUGGAACUGCUUGGUAUACUGGCGAUCUUGAGCCACUUAGGGGCUACCGGAACAAAUGGUGGAGCGGUGAAAUGCGCAGAUAUCAGGAGGAACACCAAUGGCGAAGGCAGCACUCUGGGGACGUGACUGACGCUGAGACGCGAAAGCGUGGGGGAGCAAACAGG
rnacentral:rRNA from 1 species